rnacentral:rRNA from 1 species
GGGUUGUGAGGUUAAGCGACUAAGCGUACACGGUGGAUGCCCUGGCAGUCAGAGGCGAUGAAGGACGUGCUAAUCUGCGAUAAGCGUCGGUAAGGUGAUAUGAACCGUUAUAACCGGCGAUUUCCGAAUGGGGAAACCCAGUGUGUUUCGACACACUAUCAUUAACUGAAUCCAUAGGUUAAUGAGGCGAACCGGGGGAACUGAAACAUCUAAGUACCCCGAGGAAAAGAAAUCAACCGAGAUUCCCCCAGUAGCGGCGAGCGAACGGGGAGCAGCCCAGAGCCUGAAUCAGUGUGUGUGUUAGUGGAAGCGUCUGGAAAGGCGCGCGAUACAGGGUGACAGCCCCGUACACAAAAAUGCACAUGCUGUGAGCUCGAUGAGUAGGGCGGGACACGUGGUAUCCUGUCUGAAUAUGGGGGGACCAUCCUCCAAGGCUAAAUACUCCUGACUGACCGAUAGUGAACCAGUACCGUGAGGGAAAGGCGAAAAGAACCCCGGCGAGGGGAGUGAAAAAGAACCUGAAACCGUGUACGUACAAGCAGUGGGAGCACGCUUAGGCGUGUGACUGCGUACCUUUUGUAUAAUGGGUCAGCGACUUAUAUUCUGUAGCAAGGUUAACCGAAUAGGGGAGCCGAAGGGAAACCGAGUCUUAACUGGGCGUUAAGUUGCAGGGUAUAGACCCGAAACCCGGUGAUCUAGCCAUGGGCAGGUUGAAGGUUGGGUAACACUAACUGGAGGACCGAACCGACUAAUGUUGAAAAAUUAGCGGAUGACUUGUGGCUGGGGGUGAAAGGCCAAUCAAACCGGGAGAUAGCUGGUUCUCCCCGAAAGCUAUUUAGGUAGCGCCUCGUGAAUUCAUCUCCGGGGGUAGAGCACUGUUUCGGCAAGGGGGUCAUCCCGACUUACCAACCCGAUGCAAACUGCGAAUACCGGAGAAUGUUAUCACGGGAGACACACGGCGGGUGCUAACGUCCGUCGUGAAGAGGGAAACAACCCAGACCGCCAGCUAAGGUCCCAAAGUCAUGGUUAAGUGGGAAACGAUGUGGGAAGGCCCAGACAGCCAGGAUGUUGGCUUAGAAGCAGCCAUCAUUUAAAGAAAGCGUAAUAGCUCACUGGUCGAGUCGGCCUGCGCGGAAGAUGUAACGGGGCUAAACCAUGCACCGAAGCUGCGGCAGCGACGCUGAUGCGUUGUUGGGUAGGGGAGCGUUCUGUAAGCCUGCGAAGGUGUGCUGUGAGGCAUGCUGGAGGUAUCAGAAGUGCGAAUGCUGACAUAAGUAACGAUAAAGCGGGUGAAAAGCCCGCUCGCCGGAAGACCAAGGGUUCCUGUCCAACGUUAAUCGGGGCAGGGUGAGUCGACCCCUAAGGCGAGGCCGAAAGGCGUAGUCGAUGGGAAACAGGUUAAUAUUCCUGUACUUGGUGUUACUGCGAAGGGGGGGACGGAGAAGGCUAUGUUGGCCGGGCGACGGUUGUCCCGGUUUAAGCGUGUAGGCUGGUUUUCCAGGCAAAUCCGGAAAAUCAAGGCUGAGGCGUGAUGACGAGGCACUACGGUGCUGAAGCAACAAAUGCCCUGCUUCCAGGAAAAGCCUCUAAGCAUCAGGUAACAUCAAAUCGUACCCCAAACCGACACAGGUGGUCAGGUAGAGAAUACCAAGGCGCUUGAGAGAACUCGGGUGAAGGAACUAGGCAAAAUGGUGCCGUAACUUCGGGAGAAGGCACGCUGAUAUGUAGGUGAAGUCCCUUGCGGAUGGAGCUGAAAUCAGUCGAAGAUACCAGCUGGCUGCAACUGUUUAUUAAAAACACAGCACUGUGCAAACACGAAAGUGGACGUAUACGGUGUGACGCCUGCCCGGUGCCGGAAGGUUAAUUGAUGGGGUCAGCGCAAGCGAAGCUCUUGAUCGAAGCCCCGGUAAACGGCGGCCGUAACUAUAACGGUCCUAAGGUAGCGAAAUUCCUUGUCGGGUAAGUUCCGACCUGCACGAAUGGCGUAAUGAUGGCCAGGCUGUCUCCACCCGAGACUCAGUGAAAUUGAACUCGCUGUGAAGAUGCAGUGUACCCGCGGCAAGACGGAAAGACCCCGUGAACCUUUACUAUAGCUUGACACUGAACAUUGAGCCUUGAUGUGUAGGAUAGGUGGGAGGCUUUGAAGUGUGGACGCCAGUCUGCAUGGAGCCGACCUUGAAAUACCACCCUUUAAUGUUUGAUGUUCUAACGUUGACCCGUAAUCCGGGUUGCGGACAGUGUCUGGUGGGUAGUUUGACUGGGGCGGUCUCCUCCUAAAGAGUAACGGAGGAGCACGAAGGUUGGCUAAUCCUGGUCGGACAUCAGGAGGUUAGUGCAAUGGCAUAAGCCAGCUUGACUGCGAGCGUGACGGCGCGAGCAGGUGCGAAAGCAGGUCAUAGUGAUCCGGUGGUUCUGAAUGGAAGGGCCAUCGCUCAACGGAUAAAAGGUACUCCGGGGAUAACAGGCUGAUACCGCCCAAGAGUUCAUAUCGACGGCGGUGUUUGGCACCUCGAUGUCGGCUCAUCACAUCCUGGGGCUGAAGUAGGUCCCAAGGGUAUGGCUGUUCGCCAUUUAAAGUGGUACGCGAGCUGGGUUUAGAACGUCGUGAGACAGUUCGGUCCCUAUCUGCCGUGGGCGCUGGAGAACUGAGGGGGGCUGCUCCUAGUACGAGAGGACCGGAGUGGACGCAUCACUGGUGUUCGGGUUGUCAUGCCAAUGGCACUGCCCGGUAGCUAAAUGCGGAAGAGAUAAGUGCUGAAAGCAUCUAAGCACGAAACUUGCCCCGAGAUGAGUUCUCCCUGACUCCUUGAGAGUCCUGAAGGAACGUUGAAGACGACGACGUUGAUAGGCCGGGUGUGUAAGCGCAGCGAUGCGUUGAGCUAACCGGUACUAAUGAACCGUGAGGCUUAACCUUACAACGCCGAAGGUGUUU